rnacentral:rRNA from 1 species
CCUACGGGUGGCAGCAGUAGGGAAUCUUCCACAAUGGGCGAAAGCCUGAUGGAGCAACGCCGCGUGAGGGAAGAAGGGUUUCGGCUCGUAAAGUUCUGUUGGAAGGGAAGAAAGAUAGAGGUAGUAACUGGCCUUAAGUUGACGGUAACUACUUAGAAAGCCACGGCUAACUACGUGCCAGCAGCCGCGGUAAUACGUAGGUGGCAAGCGUUGGCCGGAAUUAUUGGGCGGAAAGCGAGUGGAGGCGGUUCCAUAAGUCUGAUGUGAAAGCCUUGGGCUCAACCGGCGCAUUGCAUCGGAGACUGUUGAACUUGAGUGCAGAAGAGGAGAGCGGAACUCCAUGUGUAGCGGUGAAAUGCGUAGAUAUAUGGAAGAACACCAGUGGCGAAGGCGGCUCUCUGGUCUGCAACUGACGCUGAGGCUCGAAAGCGUGGGUAGCGAACAGGAUUAGAUACCCGUGUAGUC